GCGUCGCAUUACGCCUCGAGCCGGCAAAUAUUACGCGCACCGCGUGAUACGCGUAUCGGUACGUCUCAAUUAUUAUCCGCGACGAAUGAUUAAAGUACUUGGCGAUCUCUUGAGAUAUUUAAUCGAACCCUCGUCUCGGCACGUCGGUUUAAUUAACGCGCGAACCACAUCUACGCGAGUGUCUAUGCUGAUACGUGUGUGUUUUUGGACUGUCACGAGGGAGCAGCCGGGAUACUGAACAGGAAAAUCAGGUCUAAAGGAACAGGACGACGGGAAGCGAUAUUUCCAGGGCAUUACAUUCGCUGGACGCUAUGUUUUGCAACCAUAUUGGUUUUCGAUACGAAAACGAGCACAGAUCGAUGUCGCACGUCACUUCCGAUAUAUAUCGAUUAAGACGUGUGUGCGGCUAUUGGAGAGGAAGAAUGGCGUUGGGGCAUAUGACAUGAGUCGCCUAGACCCAUUAUUGAGAGAGAGAGAGAGAGAGAGAGAGAGAGAGAGGCUAUUACGGGAAUACAACUGUCACGCUGAGAUCUUCGUGAACAUCGGAAGCAUUGGAAAUACUUGGAUGGGAUUCUUACAUCGAGAAGAGCUUACGGCCCCAUCACGAAGGCAACUACGAUUCUGAUAGACGCGGAUGCGGAUGCUGUACUAGAGGAUCCGGUUCAGGUCGAAUGGGACCGGCUUGAAGAUCUGGCUAGUUGAACUUGCCAGCCUUUGUGAUAUUCUAAUGAGUCUGAACAACAGGUAUAAACAUUGAUAUGUAACAGGAACAACAGUUUAUGUCGAUGAAUAUUUUCAAAACUUGUUAAAAUCGAUACGACUUACCUAACUUGUAAUCUUUGCAUGUUUUUUUAAAUAGAAAACUGUCGAAUGAGAUAUAGUGGUCACAUUCCUCUCAUUUUAAAAUAUUAAAAUUUACAAAAAUGUUUAAUAUAAAAUAACUAAUUAUAAUUUUAUGAAUUAUAUCAAUAAUACAAAAUUAUAUAUUGUAUGAUUCAUAUUAUUGUUACAUUUAUCAUAUGAAAAUUACUUUAUGUAUAACAUAUUGUACUGUAUAGUUAUAAAGAAAGUAAUUCUAGAGGAAAUACUUUAUAUAUUUUAUUGUAUCAAAGUGCUGUUGGUUUUAAAAAUAGUUUAUAUUUUUAUCAUUGCUUACUAUACCACUCGACAGUUCUAUGACAUCGAUUUUUAUACACUGCAGUCAGAAUACGACUGCUAAACUUUGUGAAAUCCUCACAAAGCAAUCAGGCGCUAAUAUUACGCUUUCUCGCACUAAAAUCACGAUAAUUUUACUCGCCUUCAUAAAUUUUAUCGGUCAUUGCAUUCUUGAUUUUUAGUUUUCGUGUACAAAGAUAUAGAAAUUUCACAAUAGUCGCGAUUAUUUUACACAUGACAUGUUAAUCAAUUUUUUAUCUACGUUUUUCGAUCUUUUAAAUUUUACAUAUUUGCAUCGCGAUUAUAUCCGUUGAAGUCAUGAAAGUUUUUCACAGUAGCUGUGAUUAUUUUGCACACGAUUAUAUAUAUAGACUUCUAAUCUACCUUUCUGAUCUUCGAUUUUACAUGUGUAUGCUUAUGUCGCGUUCGUGUCUAUUUAAAGUAUACAAGUUCGACAAUAGUCGCGAAUAUGUAUCAUUUGUCGUCGUGAUAUCGAUUAAACGCCACUGAAACAUGAAUGUUGAUCACGUCGCGAAUGUGAAUAAAAUGCAAUCAACGUGGGACGACACAGAACAGAGACUAGACUGGGGCUGAGUUGAGACUGGACUACAGCUGGACUAAGGCUGGACUAAGGCUGGAUUAAGGCUGGACUAAAGUGGAUUUCGACCUGGAUAGGCGAGGGACGUCAACGCAAAAUGGUGAACGUGAAAUUUCAAAGCUUACAAAGAGCUGCCAUAUAAUAUAGUGCAUGUGUAGUUGUAAGUCGUAUCGAUUUGAAACAAAAAUCAUAAAGACAGUUAUAGACUGCUGUUUAAGAUUGUGUAAAUAUUUUUUGUAAGAUAGCGUAAUAUCCAUUUUCACGUGAUAUUAGUAGUCAACAUUGCUUAUAACUCGAGGAUUAUGAUUCGUGUGUCCCAUGAAUUUCAAUCAUUUUGCACAUUGCAAAAUUCAUACAGAUUGGAAAUCUUAAAGUAAUCGUUCUUGACAGACAUUAUGGUCUUUUUGCCGCGGGCAAUUGACACAGAUACAUCGCUUUUUACCGAUGCCUCUUUAGCAUAUUGCAUGUUGCAAUCUCACAAUCAUUCAGUCAAUAUCUGUUGCCUGUGAUAUCAUAGAAUAUGACGAGUCGAAAUUUAAAAUCUAUUGUCAGUCUCGUAAACGCUCGACCUUAUUAAUUUGUAUUUCUAAUAAUGUCUCUUAGACUGCAGGCCCAGCUUUAAUUGAGUAAACUUUAGUUUUGUAAGAACUUAAUCUUACUUUUAAGAAAUCGAUGAAAAUCAGCGUAACAGUUAACGCGUGGAUGUAGAAUCAAAAUUGUGAUUCGAAUUGUGACAUAUAUGUGAUUAUCAUAUAUAAAUAAAUAUAUUAUAUAUAUUUUAUAUUAUAUAUAUAUAUAUAUAUAUAUAUAUUAUCAUAUAUAAAUAAUAUAUAUUAUGUGUGUUAUGUGUGAUUAUCUGGCCAUUUUUAAAUUUGCGUAUGCAGAUUAUCUGAGUGAACUUUUGAGUUUUCGGACACGAUAAUUCAUGUGUCACUUAUAUGUUGUAAUCAGUAGACAAAAUUUGCUAAAUGCUAGUAACUAAACAUCAAGAUUAAGCAAUACACACAGCUUUUCAUAUUGAGUCGUUAAACGACGCGAAAGAAGAUAGAGAAAAGAAUAUUUAAAGUUCAUUAGAAAAAUGAUAGUGACAUUAUCCUAACAUCAGUCACAAGCAUUUGCGUAUUACAUAAUGAUACUUGCGAAACUUCAAUCAUCGCGUUAAUCAUCCCAAGUCGUAUGAAUCAUUGAAAUCGUUCAAACUUUUAACCGACGAGUUUUCAAGUACUAUCAAACGAAUCACAAUAUCCGAUUAUGCUACUUUGUAUCCGACUUUUACUUCGAUGUCGUCAUACGUCGCAUUAAACGGUCGUGAGUCGAUUUAAUUGCUAGACCAGCCCGAAAUAGGCGUUCCAGGUCAAUAACGACUUCGGCCCGCGAGUCAUCGGCUUCACGGAUUUCUUCUUUAUUAUACUGCGUCGCCUACGACACGCUCGGUUUAUGGAAGCUUGCGGGUCAGGAACGACGUGUUUGCACGGCGCCGUGAAAGUGUCUACAUGCGACUAGAGAACAUCCUGGCGGUAGGGAUUGUUCUUUCGCGUGUGCUCGAUGCCACGGAUACAUCCCACGCGCUCGAGAUUAUUCAAAAGUACAGACGCGUAUCUAGCAUUUCGAUAUGUCAAACGGGGAUCCUGAAAAGAAAACCGCGAAAUCGAUCGUCAAUCGACGAACAGCUCGUCAGCAUUUUAAGACAGAUUGUCCCGAAAGCACACCUGUCAAAUUCCGUAGAAAUCGACACGACUAUUUUUACGCGACAGGUCUGUUUAUUCGAUAAAUAAGUCUUGGUUUACACGAUAUCUCGAAUUAAUCAUCACGACGAACCGGUGUUUUAAUGACACACGCUUAUAGUCUCGCAGUGUCGCCCGUAAACGUAUUUGCAUGUUUAGCACUGACUAGUACUUUAAUUGUAUAACCAACGUGUUAGACCUUCCUACGUGCAGUUGAUUUCACGCACGAGUCUCUUUACGCACUUACGUAAUUCCUCGGUAAAGCAAUGAAAA